rnacentral:rRNA from 1 species
UACGUAGGGGCAAGGCGUUGUCCGGAAUCAUUGGGCGUAAAGCGCGUGUAGGCGGCUUGGUAAGUCCGCUCUGAAAGCCCGGGGCUCAACCCCGGGAGGCGGGUGGAUACUGUCAAGCUCGAGUCCGGAAGAGGCGAGUGGAAUCCUGGUGUAGCGGUGAAAUGCGCAGAUAUCAGGAGGAACACCAAUGGCGAAGGCAGCUCGCUGGGACGUGACUGACGCUGGAGACGCGAAAGUACAGCUACGUACGUCGAGC